GUAAUAUUUAAUUUUUUUAAUUUUCAAACAAGCUUUUUUUAAGUUUCUUUUUUCGACAGCGAAAUGAGUUGAACUCUCAGCGCCCUGAAAAUGAUUGUCAGCAUGUGCAUGCUGGGAAAUAUGAACUUCCCAUGAACAGACACAACAGCAAGUGAAUUUCGACAGGUGUUGUCUUGAACAGGAGGAGGUGCAUCUUCCAGAGGUUCUUCUCUUAUAAUUACAUCCUGACAUGAUGAAAGCUUGUUUGCUUUCGUUCUUAAGAGCCCGUGUGGUCCAACAGUGUGCACCAUCCACAAAAGCCAAAAUGCUGCUGCAAAAAGAAGAAAGAUCCAUGCAAUGCAACAGCGUUUUCACCCUUGGGUAACUAUAAACGGUCACCAAGUCUUCCAAACCACCCUAAUGGUGCCAUCGACGGAGGCUGUUACCAUGCAAUUGUCUCACACUUAUUACCACUGAGGAAUGAGGGCGAAAACUUGACACCACCGUUGCAUCCACAAGAUCCCAAAAGUAAAUGUAACCAUCCGCAGACCCGCCAGUCACAUGGGCAUCAGUGUUGGUAAGGCAGCAAUCCAAUUUAUAUGACUUACAAGUGUGUACUUUAUAUUCUUGCAAGAGUUCACCUGUAGAUCUCUCCAAAAGGCGCAAGGUAGAAUCUAGGCAACUUGCUAAUAUACAAUUUCCAUCAUUUGACGUGGAAAUACAGUUGACAGGCUGCCCCAAGUCAUCGACAAUUUCUCUACCAAUACGGAUAUCAAAUGUUCUAACAGUACCAUCAACACUUCCAGCGAUCAUCUCAGUUUUCUUCAAGCAUACAGACAUUACACUGUCUGAAAAUGCAUCAAUGAUAUGCAUAUUAACCGGAAAUUUGAGAGAAUAUAAGGCAGCAUUAACAAAUUUAAAUAAAUAUUAAGAAAAGAAAGAAAGAAAAUGACCCUAAUUGGCUCAGUACUGUGAGAUCUACAAUCACAGGCGCGCAAUGACUGAUCAUAACCAGCUGAUACUACAACAGAAGCAUACUCAUUAGACUUCACAGCAUUCACCUCCAAAAAAAAUGGACAUGAACAUAUCAAAAGGAUGACAAAAUCAUUGCAAGUAAAUUGUUAAUUGUACCUGGCUAUCAUGGCCUCUAAAUUUUUGAAUGACACGACCAGCUGCCACAUCCCAGUAAAAGAUUUUCCGGUCACCAUCGCAAGAAAUUAGCUUGGAAUUGUCCCUAAA
rnacentral:misc_RNA from 1 species